UUCUAGGAAAUCAGGUGCUAUGGACCUGAGCAAAAUCAUACCUCAGUCAUGACCUUCAGUCACCGAAGCAAUGAUUUCUGCUAACUUGGCAAUAGAGAGAGAUCACAAGUAGGCAGAGAGGCAGGCAGAGAGAGA